GUGAUUUACAGGUAAAUUGUGCAAUUAGUUAUCUUUUUUAGUUAUAUUUAAUAUUCCAUGUAUGUGCCGCAAUAUUCGAUGUGAUGAAGAAUCUUGUAAAGUUUUGAGUUUUUGGGUGUAUCUAAACAAGGCCUCAGUAGUCUAGCUCUAGCAGCAGAAGCUGCGCCCACGUGAACCAGCCUCGGGAAAAGUGUUGCUGCUACUGCCUGCUGCAUGCAAAGACAAGCCA
rnacentral:lncRNA from 1 species